rnacentral:rRNA from 1 species
AUAAACGCUGGCGGCGUGCAUGAGACAUGCAAGUCGAACGGACGAUCGAGGCUUGCUUCGAUCGUUAGUGGCGGACGGCUGAGUAACGCGUAGGUGACCUGCCCCGAAGUGGGGAAUAACUGCCCGAAAGGGUGGCUAAUACCGCAUGUGGUGGUGUGUUCAAUCACACCAGUAAAGCCGCAAGGCGCUUCGGGAGGGGCCUGCGUCCGAUUAGCUCGUUGGUGGGGUAACGGCNCACCAAGGCGACGAUCGGUAGGUGGUCUGAGAGGACGAUCACCCAGACUGGGACUGAGACACGGCCCAGACUCCUACGGGAGGCAGCAGUCGGGAAUUUUGCGCAAUGGACGAAAGUCUGACGCAGC